UGUGUCAAGCCUAAUGUCCUGCAGGUGCCAAUACCUAUUGAACUUGGAUACUAAGUAGAAUCAGGCCUGGUUAAUACUUGGAUGGGAAACCAUUACAGAAAACCAGGUGUUAAAAGAU
rnacentral:rRNA from 1 species